rnacentral:rRNA from 1 species
AUGCCGAUGGUUGUCGGAGAGCAUGCCCUGGACGUGGAUGAAGUCGUCGCAGUAGCGGCAGAAGAGCGCCUGGCCUCCAGGCAGAAGACGAUGAUGGCGGCGAUGGCACGUGUGUUCCCGAAGGAAGACGAAGCUCCUUGCGCUUCCCCCAUCGUGGCUAGCGUGCAUGAUGGCGGCAGGCGGCUCGCGAUUAGCUUCCUAAUAGGAUGGAUGCGUCCGAGAUAA